UACGGAGGGUGCGAGCGUUGUCCGGAAUCAUUGGGCGUAAAGGGCGCGUAGGUGGCCUGCUAAGCGUGCGGUGAAAGUCGGGGGCUCAACCCCCGAUCGGCCGUGCGAACUGGGAGGCUUGAGCACUGUAGAGGCAGGCGGAAUUCCGGGUGUAGCGGUGGAAUGCGUAGAGAUCCGGAAGAACACCGGUGGCGAAGGCGGCCUGCUGGGCAGUUUUGCUGGACACUGAGGCGCGGCAGCGUGGGGAGCAAACAGGG
rnacentral:rRNA from 1 species